AUUUUACUCCAUCCGUUCGGAAAUACUUGUCGCAUAAAAUAGAUAAAAUUAGAUGUAUCUAGAACUAAAAUACGUCUAGAUAUAUCCAUUUUCCCGACAAGUAUUUCCGGACAGAGGAAGUAUUUG
rfam:Triticum aestivum genome assembly, contig: Triticum_aestivum_CS42_TGACv1_scaffold_404309_5BL